rnacentral:misc_RNA from 1 species
AGAAAACCCUAUCCCCAUAACAGAGGUAGCCCUAGGAUACCGAAAUAACACAGAUACCAAAAACAUGCAGCGCCGCGGGACCUCCUAAUAGCCGAAGCUGGAAUGGUAACUAGGAAAGAAGACAACGGAUGCUUCCACAGCUACAAAAGCCAACAAGCUUUGCUAAAACACCGUCUGGAGCUUUAAACCCAGGUAGCCACUGGACCUCAAAAUGCCCAACAUGCAUAGCCAUAUUGUCGGAGACUUCCAGAGAGGAUAGUGGGUAGAGCUCAUGUUCUCUCAAUUGCGUACUGAUUUGUUGAAAUAAUUCUUAUAAUCCAUUUUAAUUUAUGCUAUGCUUACUGUUUAGGUCUCCAAACUUGGUUUUGAAUUCUCUUAGAUUGUUUAGAAGCAAGAAAAAGUAAGUGGACUCUGAUACACUUUCUUUGUAACAUAAAUAAUAGUAAGGAAGUUUUUGUACAAACUUUUAUUCAAAUAUUUGUAAUAAUAUGAUAGGUAGUGGAUUAAGUGAAAAUUAUGCUUGAUGUUGGAUUUUACUUACAAAGGAUGUGAUAGCUUAAUCUCGCUUUUCUCCUCACAAACGAUUACCAGGUAGAACGAAGAUGAUUUUAAAUGUGAUGGUGAUGAUGCUUGAAGGUGCGGAGAAGAUUGAAGACUGUGUGUUGCUUAGUUUUAUUCAGUGGUUUUUCUUUCCGGUUCUUUGUGUGUUAGAGCUGCAAAUGAGUAUAUAUCAGCAGCAAUCUGGGCAUGCGGAGAGAUAUUCUAAGAUUGGCAAUAGAGUCAUGGAAUCAGUGCAAUGAGGUUGGAGAAGAAGUUCCUAAUAUGGGCAGUCUAAGAGCUGCAGAUUGCUUUGACACAUACAAGGCUUCUCAACAGACCUUCUGCCUUAUUUUUCUGGUUCUGUAUCUGUUCUUGUAAU